rnacentral:lncRNA from 1 species
CGAUUAUCUCAUGGAAGACGUUUUAUUAGUGCCUUGCUGACAUGGCUUUGGAUUGCCACCUUUCUCCUUUAUAUGACCAGAUUUCCAUAUGAACAAAGCAACGGUCGGUAUCUUGCAUGUAACCUCCUUUACAUGCCCACUCUUGGGGGUGGAAUAAAAACAAGUGUCCAACUUGCGAGUACCGACCUUCGAGGCUGUCGGGUGCUUUUGAGGUGCGUACAAACCUUUUUGCUUUCUAGUUUUUAUUUAAUCCUUUUUCCUUGUUUUGAUCAAUUAGGUCCCUCGGGAACUUGGACGAGAUAUAUAAAAAAAAGGACAGGC